GAACUAACUACGCAGUUGUUAAUAGAGCAGAACAAGCAGACGUGUGACAGUCAGGCGGACCUGACUUUCCUACCAUAAAGAAUGCUGUCAACAUGCGUUAAUCCAAGGCCAACCCAAGAUGGGCUGAGGACUGAGGACAAAACACUAUUAAAGAUGCUGUCAAUGUGUGUUCAUCCAAGGCAAACCCAAGGUGGAAGAGCGGAGGACAAAACACCAUUAAAGAAAGAAGCUGCAAUGCUGGAGAAAGGCAGUCACUUUCCUUGGACGUGUGGUGUCUGCCCAUGGCUCGGCCAUGUCUACAGCCCAUCGAUCCUCCAUUCUACAUCAUCCCAAACCAACUACGGUUCGUGACUCCGCUGCACCUCCCUGUGCGACUCAUCCCUCACCUUUGGUCGCUGACAAGGUCUUCCUGAAGAGGCUCUCCAGGAAGUGGUCGGCGCCUAGGUGGAGUGGUCCCUUUGUGGUGACUACUCGUACCGACAGGGCUGUGCAACUGGAGGGCGAAGGACUUAAGUGGUUUCACUUUUCUUUACUUUGACCUGACACAUCUAUUUAAAUUAAUAUGUCUUCUCAUCGUGGACUGGGUGGUCCCCAGUCCAAGAGGGGUGGGGUGUUAAGUCAUUAGGCAUAUUACAGUAUAUGACCGUAUAAUAAUAAUAUUAUAAAACCAUAUUUAACAUGCAAUUUAAUUCAUCAACACCUGGAUGCUAUAACUUCACUUUAUAUGCCUAUGCGUCUGGAAAGGAUCAGUGUUGGCCAUUCUGUAUAUGUACUGUUGCGUCCACAGUUACCCCUCUACAGACACAAACUGCUAAAGCCGCGAAGGUUAAGGCAAUAAGUGACAGCCGGGUCAUACCAACAGGUCAUACCAACAAUUGGCUUCUCAUGGUUGAGCAGGCGGCCAAUAAGACUUCUUCUGAUUUCGUGGUCUGUAUGGUUCACAGGCCCUUGUUAAAAGUUGUUCCCGCAGUAUUGGAUGACUACUGCUUCAUGCCCGUUAUGAAUUCAACCUCCAUUAAACAAUCCAAGUGUCGCACAUGAGACGAAGUAUAUCCUGUGGGCCCACCAACAGAGCUUAAGCCCUUAUUUGAUAGAACAGUCGCAGCAAAUAAUUUCACUUGUGUUAACAGCUCUACCAGAAAAAAGCAUUUGUUAGGAAGGGUGAAUGACUCUUUAUGUGUUUCGGUCUAUCAAGUGUCUUCAAUCUUUUCUCCCGUCUCUCGAGCCGAUGUGUGGUGGUGGUGCGGAGGAGCAGUACUCUUCGACCGCCUUCCUACUAAAAGCAUGACCUGUUUGUGUGCAUUGGUUGCUCUCAUUCUACCGGUAAAUGUGAUUCCGGCUUCUGUAGAUCAUUUGAUGGACGCGGUCGACUCGGUGGCCCUCCAGCUAGCAGCACACACUCGAAGACGCCGUGACACCUCCACCCCUUGGCUCAACACGACUGAUCCCACUUACGUCGACGCCCUUGGGGUUCCUCGGGGUGUCCCGGAUGAAUACAAACUCGUUAACCAAGUCGCUGCUGGAUUUGAGUCCAUUCUUCCGUGGAUCACUGUUAACAAAAAUGUU